AAAUAAAAAUAAAUUCUAUAUAUUAAUUGAGGUUAAAUGGACAAUAUCUUUCAUAAACUGACUUUUUAAAGAAACAAAGAAUUAUAAGCAAUUUUUUCACUUGUACAUGUAUGUUUAUGCGCACCUCAUUUCCUUAGUCUAAUACAUAUCUAAAACACUAGAAAGAGGCUGCCCGUGCAUACUAAUUGAAAAUUAACAACAACAGCGACAGAAACUUCAGUAAUUAACCUUGUUGGCUGAGAAAUCCAUAGAGCCACAAUUAGCAUAACUACAUUCAAGCCAAAAGGGAUACAGCUUCAUUUAUCGCAGAUUCCCCAAAAAAAAACCGUGGGAACAAUGAAAAAAAAAAAAGAUAUCUCGAUAACGAAAAUUAUAGGGGGCUGUAUUAGCGAGAUUCAACGGUGAACAGCUGCCUAAAAGAAAAGCCGCUGAAAUAUAACAGCGUUGUUAGUUCACACUCAUACAAAGUUUCACUUUAAAGCGAAAGCUGCAAGAGCAAUGGAAGCAACAAUAUUAUAGAGUCGGCACAAAGUCGCCAUUUCCCUUCCUCUACAGAAAUUUAGUCUUGGAUGAUAUUUGCCUCGUCUCCAAAAACUUAAUUGGAUAGCCGAGUAGUCAAAAGUAGAAAGCUGGAUAUUUUCACUGCACUUUUUCCUUCUCCAGCCCAUUGAAGCUAACUAUUUCCUGCAUAUGUUGAUAAAGAGUUAAAAGUUAUAUUUAUGUGGUAAGUGAAUAAUACAUAGUAACAUGAACGACACAACAGACACACUCUUCUCAUACAGAGGUGGAGGUAAUAAUCAACAUACUAUUAACUCUUAGACAAGAGGGGUUGCUCUGAUGGUAAGCAACCUCCACUUCCAACCAAAAGGUUGUGAGUUCGAGUCUCCCCAAGAGCAAGGUGGGAAGUUCUUGGAGGGAAGGAUGCCGAGGGUUUAUUUGGAAACAGGCUCUCUACCUUAGGGUAGGGGUAAGGUCUGCGUACACACUACCCUUCUCAGACCCCACUAAGUGGAAUAAAUAUACUGGGUUGUUGUUGUUUGUACUAUUAACUCUUCCACCCAUUAUCUCAUAAUCAUUCAUUAUAACAUGAAAUAUAUAUCAUCCUGUAUAAGGAGCAAGGUAUUGUGAUGUAGCAGGGGAAUCUGCCGUUUCGGCUACCACAAUAGUGUAACCAAAAUGUUCAGUAUAAUGCAAACAAGCAAACUAUGGUUCUAGCUACUGCCAAAGCUAAUGAAUAUACAUUUACUUCCUAAAAUUUACACCAAAGCACGAGAAAAAUGAGGAAAGGUAUUUCAGAUUGUUGUUCAAGACUAAUGGAAAUCAAAAGCAUUACAGGUUAACAAUAAAACCAAGGGUUUGUUUUGAACAAUCAAAGCAUCUAGUGGUAAACAAAGUAAUCCUGAUAAGUCACUAAGUCAAAAACUUUCAGUUACUUUCCGUUUCUUUUUAUCAAACACCAAGGUAAACGCAAUCUAGAUAUACUUUGGUUAUUUAUUCAAUCAAACCAUUCCAUAAGAAUUCUAUCCAUAGACGGGAUUGGAUAAACAUGAUGAGAACAAUUAACAGUUAAAUGACUGGAGCAUGAUAAUUUUCCUUAUCAUCAGAGGUAAGCCACCUAAAACAGAAAUAAUGUUAAGGAUCUGACUUAAAUAAAAGUAUAUCUCAAUCAAAUUAUAGAAAUAACUGUCAGGUGAAGAAGAAUAAGAAAGUAUGGAAAAAGAUGGUAUCAUUCAUUCAGUACCUAGCUACUUGGAACUCUAUCUCACUGCAUUAAUACAUAAUAAGACCAAUAAGAUUUAACAAAUGAGAAAACUUAUUCCACUUUUCAUAUUAAUGAGCUUAAAUGUUACAUCAUCUUUUGAGUAAACAGCAAUUUAAGGGAGAUGAAUUCCAAGUGGUAACGAAGCUUAAACAUCUCCAGAAAAUCUGCAAAAGCGAGAAAUAAAAAAAGAAUAUAGGAAAAAAGAGAAAAUGAUGAUUAAAUGAUUGUCUUUACACUCAUUUAUGAAAUGUCAGAUAAAUUAUUAUGGUUUUAGAAUAUAUGCGUUUAAGUUCAUACAAAGCUAAUAAUCUUCGAAUUCUUGUUCUGCUUCAGUAGUUAUUGGACUUGGAAGUAACCAAUGAGGGCAAAGCAGUACAAUUAUUAAUUUGCGAAGGGAGUGAAUUUUAGCCAAAAUAAAACUGUAAUCUAAUAGCAUUACAUGAAUAGCAAUAUCAAUUGUACCUUAUCACAGUUACUCAUUAUUCAACAAAGAAUAACUAAUUGUAGCAAAAAAGAAAUCUGUUCUUCAGCUUAAGUUACAUAGUAUUAACCACAUUUCACAUUAUCCUACUAAAAGGAAAUUGAGAAGCAAUUCACUGCAAUGUAGUUGAAGUAAUAUUCCUCUAUUAAGGGAUGUAUAUAGAAACCAGCGAACUAAUAGACUUCUUCAAAAAUUCAAAUUUAAAAUAGAAAACACUCCUCACUCACACUCUUUUUCGUCGUACACUCUUUAUCCAAACUUAAAAGUCCUUCCAACACCAAGAGAUACAACAGAAAUGCAUAAACUGCAAAUCGACAUAGGAUUAGUAGAUAUCAAGAAGUAUUUCAAAACUCCACAAAAUCAGUUAAAUGGAUGAUUAUAAUACAAUGUGGUUUUCUUAUAUAUAAACCACAGAUAUAUUAGUUAACCCAACACCUACUCUAUUGCUGGAAACCAGGAAAAAAAAAGGAAGCAGAACAUCUAGUUCACUUUAGUUGUUCGUUUAUAAAUGAAAAGGCACAUAAUCAUAUUACAUCAUUUAAGAACUAAGCUCUUGGGUGGUUUUUAAUUUCUUGUAAACUGGUUACAAUUGAACCAUUAAAUCAGUGACAUUCUCAAGUGAGUCAGAGAUCAAUGCAUUCAUUAUAUGAAUAUAGUGUAAACUUCUAAAAGAACACGGUUAGAGUAAUAGAAGGAAAGCAACAGGGCGAUUUCCAAGAUAAAGAUGAUUCAUCAGAAUUCAGAACCAAGUAAAAAGGAAAAUUGAAAACUCAAUGAGUUUCCGAAUUACUGUUUACCCUAAGUUUUUAUGCAAAGUUUAGUGGAAAAAAAGAGAAAUGCAAAGUUUAGUGAAAAAAAGAGAAAUACAAAGUUUAGUUAGAAUAUCUAUCUGAACUCCACGAUGCAUAAUUCUUCUCUGCUUUGGCCGAUUUUGAGGAUACCCAGAAUAGGUAGCUCGAUUUCCGCAUCCAAAAUCUAACGAAGAUAAAUCUGAUUCUAUCGAUACCUAGCAAAUUAUCUCUUGCCAGGUUUAUAGAAAUAAAGACCUAAGUACGACAAGCAAAUAGAAACAAAAAAUACAUACUAAAUCAAUUAAGAAAUAGCUCAUUAAAAACAUAAGAGGGGAAAAACAAACAAAUAUAGUGACACCAAAAUGGAGAAACUUAAGAAGAAACUAACCUUUUGGGAAAAGGGGUGGAUGAAUGGACAAACAGAGAAAACUCAUAGAAAUAUGAGGAAAAUAUUACUUAGAAAGCUGAAAAUAAAUAGUUCCAAAUAACAUUGAAUCGAAGAGGAGAACAACAUGAAGAAAGAAGAUCAGGUAUACUGGAAACAACUGAGCCUCACCGUAGCUUCUUUGGUCAUCGGUAGUGAGUGAGAGAGAGAGAAUGUCUACUAUAGAAAGAAAAGAUUUGCACUGAAGAACAAAGAGGUGAACUGAAAGAAUCAAACUGGAGGCCAGUUGUCCCACUACAAAUAAAAAGGUGAUUGUGCAAUGCACGUGUUUACAGGAGAAGAACAAAGAAACUGUAUAAGCAAUGAGAUAAG
rnacentral:lncRNA from 1 species